GACGAACGCUGGCGGCGUGCUUAACGCAUGCAAGUCGAACGGAAAGGCCCUGCUUUUGUGGGGUGCUCGAGUGGCGAACGGGUGAGUAACACGUGAGUAACCUGCCCUUGACUUUGGGAUAACUUCAGGAAACUGGGGCUAAUACCGGAUAGGAGCUCCUGCUGCAUGGUGGGGGUUGGAAAGUUUCGGCGGUUGGGGAUGGACUCGCGGCUUAUCAGCUUGUUGGUGGGGUAGUGGCUUACCAAGGCUUUGACGGGUAGCCGGCCUGAGAGGGUGACCGGCCACAUUGGGACUGAGAUACGGCCCAGACUCCUACGGGAGGCAGCAGUGGGGAAUAUUGCACAAUGGGCGGAAGCCUGAUGCAGCAACGCCGCGUGCGGGAUGACGGCCUUCGGGUUGUAAACCGCUUUCGCCUGCGACGAAGCGUGAGUGACGGUAAUGGGUAAAGAAGCACCAGCUAACUACGUG
rnacentral:rRNA from 1 species